UGUACAAACAAACUUAAGUCUACUUACAC
rnacentral:sRNA from 1 species